rnacentral:rRNA from 1 species
AGCGAACGCUGGCGGCAGGCCUAACACAUGCAAGUCGAACGAACCUUUCGGGGUUAGUGGCGGACGGGUGAGUAACACGUGGGAACGUGCCUUUAGGUUCGGAAUAACUCAGGGAAACUUGUGCUAAUACCGAAUGUGCCCUUCGGGGGAAAGAUUAAUCGCCUUUAGAGCGGCCCGCGUCUGAUUAGCUAGUUGGUUGAGGUAAUGGCUCACCAAGGCGACGAUCAGUAGCUGGUCUGAGAGGAUGAUCAGCCACAUUGGGACUGAGACACGGCCCAAACUCCUACGGGAGGCAGCAGUGGGGAAUCUUGCGCAAUGGGCGAAGCCUGACGCAGCCAUGCCGCGUGAAUGAUGAAGGUCUUAGGAUUGUAAAAUUCUUUCACCGGGGACGAUAAUGACGGUACCCGGAGAAGAAGCCCCGGCUAACUUCGUG